CUGCCUCUUCUUCUAUCUGCAGGGAUUAAUCCCAAGCCUGUACCCAUAACUGCUUCUUUUAUCUGGCCAGUGUCUCUCCCAACACUUGAGGAGAACGGGCUCUGAGUACUGAGAUGUCUGUCUCCUCUGUGCCGUACAGAUGUACAAAUCAUCUCCUCUUUUGCCUCCACCAUGAUAAUGAUGUACGAAGCAUAUUUCAUUUUUGCAGUGUAAACAUAAGAAAUAUGUCAGCCAUGGCAGUAGAUCCAAGGUGCAAAUUUUUUUUCUACUCUUGGAAUCUUACCUGAGUGGGGUUAUCAGAGUCAGCUUUAAAAGGUCUGUCCCAGGUGACACCAGCAGUGCUUGGCCAGAAGACCUGGAUGUCCUUCACAUUUCUGGCUGCAAGAAAAGAAGAAACAAAGUGGAGGCAUGGGAAUGGUUCAGGAUCCCUCUGUGAAGAAAACAAGGCCCUAACUAAAGAAAUCAUUCAUAG